GACGGUGACACGACAGCACCCAACCCAAAAAUAUAUUAUAAGAAUAAAACAUCUUAACCAAACUCUUCCUCAUCCUUACGCCACCGCUAAUACUGUCAUCAGCCCUCAAUACAAUUAUAACUGUAUAUUUGUGUUGCAUAUCGAACUGGUAGUAAUUGAUGAAUUGGAGUUUAUCAAAAGAUUUGGAUUGGAUGUUUCUGGAACAUGACAGAAUAUGAAAAAGCUCAAAGAGUUCUUCAGCGGCUUAGAGGAGGAUAUACAAGGGAUAUGGUAGAAAAGAAAGUCGCUAAGAGAGGAGAAGAUGAUUCAGACUCUGCUUUUCCAGUUGUCCGUAGCAGUUAAACAGUACCCGACCCGAAUAGGUUUCGCCCGCUUCCCUUUGAUGGGGCUGCCGUGGAUGGGAACUCCAAAGGCAAAGAAUUACGCCUUGGAAUAUCAGUCUUAAAUUUAGGAGGACGUUCAUGAAGAAUAUUACGUUUAUCUCCAUAUGAGGGGCUCACGCAAAUCUUCAAAACUAUGGCUUUGGAUACAUGCACGAUGCUCAAUUUUUACAUAAUAUUGAGCAUAAUGAUUGUUAAUCGUUCUGGAGAAGAUGAUUCAGACACGGCUUUUCCAGUUGUUCGUAGCAGUGAAACAGUACACGACCCGAAUAUGUUUUGCCCAAUUCGCUUUGAUGGGGUUGCCAUGGAUGGGAACUCCAAAGGCAAAGGUAAGAAUUCUUCAUU
rnacentral:lncRNA from 1 species